CCUACGGGAGGCUGCAGUGAGGAAUAUUGGUCAAUGGGCGCAAGCCUGAACCAGCCAUCCCGCGUGCAGGAAGACGGCCCUAUGGGUUGUAAACUGCUUUUCCGAAAGGCGAAACUCAGCGACGUGUCGUUGAUUGACGGUAUUUCGGGAAUAAGCAUCGGCUAACUCCGUGCCAGCAGCCGCGGUAAUACGGAGGAUGCGAGCGUUAUCCGGAUUCAUUGGGUUUAAAGGGUGCGUAGGCGGACUAAUAAGUCAGUGGUGAAAUCCUGCAGCUUAACUGCAGAACUGCCAUUGAUACUGUUAGUCUUGAGUUUGGUUAAGGUAGGCGGAAUGUGUAAUGUAGCGGUGAAAUGCUUAGAUAUUACACAGAACACCAAUUGCGUAGGCAGCUUACUGGACCGACACUGACGCUGAGGCACGAAAGCGUGGGGAUCGAACAGGCUUAGAUACCCCAGUAGUC
rnacentral:rRNA from 1 species